UGGGCAGUGUGGAAUGGAGACAUCCUGACUGUGGACCGCGAUGGCGACGGCUGGGGCCUCACACACAGAGCAGCGGCUGAUACUAUACUGGCAUUUUGGAACAGCUCUGUUCUACAAGUUCUCACACAUACUGGGCCAAGUUGGAUCAUCAGGGAGUGGCGUCUUCAUCAAUAGCAUUUUGGUGCACUGCUCAGUGGCAUUAAAUAUAUUCACUUUCACCGCCGACUAUCUCCAGAACUUUCUCAUCCUAAACUGAAAUCUGUCCCUGUUAUACACUCACUCCCCAUGUCCCUCUCCCCCCAACCCUCAGCAACAGCCAUUGUACUUUCUGUUUCUAUGAAUUUGAUGACUUCAGGGGCCUCAUAUGUGUGGAAUCACAGAAUCCGACCUUUUGUGACUGGCUUCUUUCACUCGGCAGAAUGCCCUCAAGGGUCAGCUAGGUGGUAGCAGGUGAUAAAAGUUCCUUCUUUUUAAGACCGAAUAAAGGCUGGGCAAGGUGGCUCACACCUGUCAUCUCAGCACUUUGGGAGGCCGA
rnacentral:antisense_RNA from 1 species